rnacentral:tRNA from 1 species
CGGGAUGUAGCGCAGUUGGUAGCGCACUUCGUUCGGGACGAAGUGGUCGCUGGUUCGAAUCCAGUCAUCCCGA